rnacentral:rRNA from 1 species
UACGUUCCCGGGCCUUGUACACACCGCCCGUCACACCAUGGAAGCCGGUAACACCCGAAGCCGGUGGCCUAACCCGCAAGGGGGGAGCCGUCGAAGGUGGGAUUGGUGACUGGGGUG